CGAAGCUAAACUAGUUAAACUUUCGCGCUUGUUGAGCCGCAGAAGGCGCCCUCCACUUUUGUGAAAGUGGCUAGAGUGAUCACCCGUUCACGUCACGACGGCGGAAUAUUUGCCGCGCAACAACGCCAGAUGGUAUCGGAGGCACGGUAUCUCUUCAGCUAUAUAAACCCUGGCAACAUAAGUCGUCGCACCUCGUCACUGGAACAAUCAGCGAACCAUCCUGUGACUGCUCAUGGCAAUAUGGCAAAGAAAAAAAGAACCAUAAAGGCUACGUGACCCAUCGCGCAUUAGACGCAAAAGAAGCGUACUGACGGGAACCACGAGGAACUUUGGUAAUAAUCGACACUUCUCGCGUAUGGUCAUGGUGGGAAGGAGACAGACAACUGAAUAAAGAACGUUUGGAAAACGUU